AUGGGAGAGGGAACUUCCUGCCUGCUUUCUUCUGUGCCCAAGGAGGAUGCAGAGGCGGAGUUUCCUGCUGACACAGCAGAUAAAGAAUCUCCACACACUGAGGUGACCGCAGUAGGAAUGACAAAUGAUUGGGCCUCACAGAGCAUUUCCAAGUCCUACAGUGAAGCUGAAGUCUCUUCAGGCUAUGGGGCAGCACCUGAACUUUCCACUGGGUGUGGCAAUCGGGGGCUGUCCACAUGUUCCCUGGACGUGAACUAUUCCCAAAGUCUUCUGGACAUGGAGGACCUUGACCAAGAAGAACAGGAAAUAUUCCUUUGCUCCUUGGAAGCCUGCAAUGUGGAGGGCGGGACGCAGAGGAGUUGGAGCUUCUCCAACCACAGGAAGCUUGAACAACGCAGGAGGAGACACAGCUCACCAGCCACAUCUCUCCUCACCAGUCCUCUGCAGAUUAUGGUAUUAAAUUAUCAUCAUCCGUACUGGUUGCUUUUCAUAUGGUUUUGUCCAAUGAAGCACAUCACAGGGAAACACCUCAGCAAAGGUAGAACUUAAAGGAUCUGAGAGCAGUCACCCUAGUGACUACCACCACCACCAACCCCUCAGGAGGAAUCCCAUUUGAUCCUCAAUGAAUAGUCACUGCCAGGGUGGUCUUUUCAAUCCGUUCUUACAGCAAUACUUUCUAUGGUUUUUUAAAGAUUUAUUUAUUGAUUCAAAAGUCAUAGUUACACAGAGAGAGAAGAGGCAGAGAGAGAAGUCUUCCAUCUUCUGAUUCAUUCCCCAGAUGGUCGCAACAGCCAGACCUGCACCGAUCUGAAGCUAGGAGCCAAGAGCUUCUUCCAGGUCUCCCACACGGGUACAGGGCCCAAGGACUUGGGCCAUCUUCUACUGCUUUCCCAGGCCAUAGCAGAGAGCUGGAUUGGAAGUGGAGCAGCCGAGUCUCAAACCGGCACCCAUAUGGGAUGCCAGCACUUCAGGCCAGGGCGUUAACUUGCUGCACCACAGUGCCGGCCCCUAGGGGUUUUGUUGUCACCCAUCUGUUCCUUCCAUUGGAAGGCAUCAUGGGGUCCCUUUCGCUCACAGUGUCUCUUGACGACCUGGAUGCCAAUGCACUUUUUACCUAAUGUCAGCUUGGAUGGCACAGAAUUCCAGGUUUAGUUUCUCUUCUCAAGCAUCUUAAAUAUAUUCUUUUUCCUUUUGCCCAGACUCGCUGUUUCUACAAGACUGAUGAGAUUCUCAGUUUCAUUUCCCUUUAUGUCACUCAUCCUUGUAUUCUAGAUGCCUGAACAUUUUUCUUUUAAUACACAGAUUUUACUGGAAUAUCAAUGGCAUCAGCCAAAGUCACAUCCAGUGGUCUUCUAAGAUGGAAUCUGACAGCGCAUUUUCGUUGGCAGAAAAGUCUGCAUUGUGCUGAUUGGCUUUGGGUCACUGCACUGUCUCUUCCCUUCCAAGAAUUUCAGGCAUCCAGCAGCUCCCUGUGCUUCUCUUCAUCUCCCAACAUCUCUGAUCAGGUUUCUGUUGUUAACAUUUUCUUCUAUUCACCUUCCGUGUCUUG
ensembl:lncRNA